UACGUAGGGGGCAAGCGUUGUCCGGAUUUAUUGGGCGUAAAGAGCGUGUAGGCGGCCAAGCAGGUCCGCUGUGAAAACUCGAGGCUCAACCUCGAGACGUCGGUGGAAACCGUUUGGCUAGAGUCCGGAAGAGGAGAGUGGAAUUCCCGGUGUAGCGGUGAAAUGCGCAGAUAUCGGGAAGAACACCAAUGGCGAAAGCAGCUCUCUGGGACGGUACUGACGCUGAGACGCGAAAGCGGUGGGG
rnacentral:rRNA from 1 species